AACAAAACAAGCAUGUAUCAUUAAUCAUUUUUUCUCAAGUACAAAUUAAAAGAAACAAGAUUAUUGUUCCAACAAAGUGAAAAUAUUCAAAUUUUUGUUUCCUUGCACUAGUUGACCGCCAGAAGUGCAGAAAACAGAGUAAACAGAAAGCAUAUUUGGAAGAUUCUCCCUCUCAACAACGAUAUACAGCAUAACACCUUCGUCCUCGCGGACGAGGGAUGCAAACAAUCAUGAUCACAAGAGCUAGUAUAACCACUAUCAAAAAUCCGGAAAGAUCAAGAUCUAUACCUUUGUCUUCAGAUUCCACGAUGUAAAUCUUCCCCAUAGCUGGCACCUGUGCCUUGUGUUUUCUUCUUGAUCUCUAUGAAUCAGUAAGAAG
rnacentral:misc_RNA from 1 species